AUGGAAAAUAAAAGGAAAAAAAUCAGGAUUUCAGUGGCUCCGAGUGGUUCUUGGGGGAAUUUGGGGAAUUUUUUGGGACUUGGGGAAUUUUGGGAAAAUUUUGGGAAUUUUUGGGGAGAAUUUUGGGAAUUUUUGGUGCAAUUUGGGGGGAAUUUAUGGGAAUUUUUAGGGGAAAUUUGGGAAUUUUCUUGGGAAUUUUGGGAAGAAUUUGGGAAUUUUUGGGGAAUUUUGGGAGAGAUUUUGGAGAAUUUUGGGAAUUUUGGGACAUUUUGGGGAAUUUUCUGGAAAUUUUUAGGGGAAAUUUGGGAAUUUUCUCAGGAAUUUUGGGAUUUUAGGGGGAAUUUUGAUGGGAAUUUUUUGGGAUUUUGGGAUUUUUUGGGGAUAUUUUGGAAUUUUAGGAGAAUUUUGGGAAAUUUUUGGGAAUUUUGGGAGGGAUUUGGGAGAAUUUGGGGAAUUUUUGGGGCGAUUUGGGGGGAAUUUAUGGGAAUUUUUAGGGAAUUUAUGGGAAUUUUCUUGGGAAUUUUUGGAUUUUUAGGGGGAUUUUUGGGGAGAAUUUGGGAUUUUUUGGGGAUUUUGGGAUUUUUGGGGGAAUUUUGGGAGGGAUUUGGGAGAAUUUGGGGAAUUUUUGGGGCAUUUUGAGGAAAAUUUGGGGAAUUUUCUUGGAAAUUUUUGGAUUUUUAGGGAAAUUUUGGGGAGAAUUUGGGAUUUUUUGGGGAUUUUUGGGGAGAAUUUUGGGAAAUGUUGAGAAAAUUUGGGAAUUUUGGGGAGAAUUUGGGAAUUUUGGGGGAAAUUUUGGGGAUUUUAGGGGAAAUUUGGGAAUUUUUAGGGAAUUUUGGGAGAAUUUUUAGGGGAAAUUUGUGAUUUUCAUGGGAAUUUUGGGAUUUUUGGGGGGAAUUUUGGGGGAUUUUGGGAAUUUUUGGGAAUAAUUUGGAAUUCUGGGGGGAAUUUGGGAAAUUUUGGGGGAAUUUUGGGGAUUUUUGGGGAAAUUUAAAUUGUGAGGGGAUUUUGGGAAAUUUUUUGGGGGAAAUUUGGGAAUUUUGGGGGGAUUUUGGGGGGUGGGGGAGGGGUUGGGAAUGGGGAGGGCGGAAAA
rnacentral:lncRNA from 1 species